AGACAAUGGUAUGGACACUUCCUCAACAUUUCCUUGAAUCUCUCCCAUGCUUCAUUAAUGAUUCAUGGUCGCCUUGUAAAAAAGAGGUAAUAUCUUUUCUCAUUUU